AAUAGAUAUUUUAUUUAGAAAAUAUAUCUUUUUUUCGUAUUAUCAUAAAAUUACAUAAAUUUUGUAACAAUAUAAGAAAAGAAUGCGAGUGUGAUUUCUUUAAAGGAAAUUAUAUCAAUUUUGAUAAUAUUUUUCUCGAAAAAAAAUUCGUGGAAUUAAUAAAAGGAUUGACACAUUCGAGAGCCAAAUGAGAAAUCGAAGGAGUGGAUAUCUUCGAUGAGAAGAGUUAAUAAAAUAAAGAGUAAAAAAUCGUAAAAAAAUUAUACAAAUACUUGUUUUCAAGCGUUCAAACCAAUUCUAAAAGUUAAAAAAGAACGAAGGAUAACAUUCUCUUCGAGAUGAAACUUGUCUCGAUGAUGAGGAUUGAAUCGAAACACAAGUCUCGCCGUGUAGAAAGUAUUUGUAUAUUUUAUUUAUAGAAAGCAGAGAUUCGAAAUAAUUCCUAUUGAUUUAGAUCUUAUUACUAGUCGCGAGGCAUGCCUCGAGACGGAUCCAAUCGUUUAUUGACAGGUUGUAUAGCUUACGAUGACGCCCAGUUAACUGUCGCACGAUCAGAACCGGAACUUGCCAAUUACAGAGGAAGAUAAGUGUUCUAAGAAUCGUUAGUGACUUUUUUUUUUUUUUAAUAAGAACAAUGCAACUAUUAAUAUACACUAUUGACUUGGAAAAUAUAAAAAUAUUUAAUUUGUAGAGAUCGAAUUAUUCUGAGCUGCAAAACGAGUAAGUUGAAUCUCAUCUUAGAACCUCAUUUGAGGUGUUUGAAUGAUCUUAUAAAGGUUGGGCUUUACGUUCUAUUUAUUCGAAAAAAGUCAACGUCGAGGCUCUCACUUGGUACAAAAACUUGGCAGCUUCGAAUAAUAAUUACAGGAGAUUAAUUUUACAGUGUAACGCAGAAAGAUUUAUAAUAUUGCAGUUUGUAUCGAUAGAGGAGAAAAUAUUGAAUAUCAAAAGGGAAACGUUGAUUACAAUACGAGGAUUUAAAGUUACAAGACUUAAUGUUGGGGAACGUUAAAGAUUGUUAAAGAGAAAACAUCGUAUAUCGAUAUGAGUUUUGGAUUAAUACCAGUCAGCGCAAGGGAAUAUAAACAUAUUUUUAACCUAUGAUUAUGUCCCUAUAACCUAUGAGAAUAUUAAUUAUUAUUUCUGAACACGUUUACAAUAAACGUACUUUUUAGAUACGAUUAUUUUUAUUAGCUUUGUGGAUACAAGCGUUUAACUGCUUUAUUGGUUGCAAGGGAAGGAUAAUAUUUUUAAUGCUAUAAAAAGUACUGUUAGAAAAUACUAUUAGAUGAUAUAUAAAUAAAUGGAAGUCUUUGAAGAAUACAUUUAUUUGGAAGUAAUAUAUGAUAUAACAAUAUGCGUGCACAUUCGUCUCGCACGUUCGCCAGUUUAGAAAAUUGAUGAGGUUUAAAAAUGGUAUGAAGAAUAUAUUGCAAAAGAUGUUUUUUUACGCUUGCUCGUCGACAAAUAGUGAAGUUACAUUGAAUAUGUAAAAUUGUUCGUGUAAAAGUGGAAAUAUUCAUUUCUAUAAAUAAUGUAAAUUUAUUUUCAAAAAAGAAAAUACGGUAAAAAAGGGAUACCGUGGGUAAAGAUUGGUUAAUCGCUAGAUAACGCAACAUGCGAAUGAAAACAACUAUUUAUAUUUGCAAACGCCACGGAAGAGAAAGGCAGUGUAUUGGCAGAAAAAUUUUCUGUUGCGAUUUUCAAAUGUCGGCUUUCCCUACUCCUCCACCACUGAGUUUCUCCUUGAAUCUUUGAAACGAACCUCGCACAGCAAACUGCAUUUUCUGCAGUCAAUAAGGCAGUUGAAAUGGUAUUCGAUCGAGUUGAAUAUUUACUACUUAGUACCCAAUAUCGUCACUUAAAAACAUUUGUAAACGUCACUUAUGUUGACAAUAUACAUUAUAUCGGAUAUAAUAAUUGUUAAUGAAACAAUUGUGCUAUUUAUUAAUGAAUUUCCAAAUUAAAAUGCUCAAUAUGCAAAGUAUUUUGAUUACGAGAAUAUUUAUUAUUUAUUAUUUAAAUCAGAACUCUGACAUGAUGGAAAAACGAUCUUAGCCAAUAAGAAAUUUACGCGCCAAAUUUAAUGAGCAUCGUAUAAUUUUAUGUAGCACGUGCAUAAUCAUAUUUAAUUUUUAUUCAAAUAUUGCACGAUAAAUAUUACUAAAUCUCAAUUAUUCAUUACUGAGUCGGUAACAUUGGAAACUACUCUUGAACAAGUUUAGAGGCCCCUGAAAUAUGCAACAGAAGUGCAUGCAAGGAUUUAUUUUACACUUUAUUCGAGAUACCACGCAAACGAACAAAUAUUAUUCUAUAACAUUAAUGUGACAAGAGACAUUAUUUUUAAUCAAAUUUCAUUUUCUAAUAAUUUUUUACUUAUUUCGAGUGAAAAUUUUAGAUAUAUAUACACAGCAAGUUUUUAUAUCCUUUUUAGAAAACUUGAAACAGGUCAGGAUGGCCGAGCGGUCUAAGGCGCUGCGUUCAGGUCGCAGUCCACUCUGUGGGCGUGGGUUCGAAUCCCACUCCUGACAAUUUUUUUUCAUCUCAAAAAAAGAAAAGAAUAAAUAAAAAUAACGAUAACGAGUUCUUUUCGUUUUAUAUCGGCUCAAAACAUUUAUAAAUUAUAAUAAAUUAAAAUAAAUUACCAUAUUAAAUAUUUGAAACGCGCAAACCAAUUCAAGAAUUUUAAUACUUCGUACCUGAUAAAACAACAAAAUUCUCCAUUUAGAAUGCAGAAGAUUGCUGAUCUUUAAUAUAAAUACUAAUAUUACCGCGUUCCUAAAGCUGAAUUAUAGUAUUUCGAAUAGCACGCAUUCGCGAUUUUGAAUAUGCACGAUGGAUAGUGCAUAGAAGAUAACUGUUUCGAGGCGUAUAACAGUUAAAACAAGUCGAAAUGAAGAAAAAAAUCCAAGACUUGACCCUCGCGAGAGAAGUAUUCCGCCGCUUGAUCGAUGAUGUUUAAAGCUUGAAUCGUGGUCGCGAAUUUGUAGGAUCGUCGCGAAUCCCGAUACAACGAACGUGUUCGCGAAUUCUUAAGCGCAAUUUACGUUACAUGACCGAGAAACGAAAAGGAACACUGGUAGACUUUACAAAUAUAUCUUACUAAUACAAGAAUGCUAACGUUAAAGGAGACAAGGAUCAAGAGACGAGUGUCGACGAAGAUUGAUUAAGGAACUCGAUUUCCACACGAAGCAUUAUUUCAUUUCAUUGAUUUCGAGUUACGCAAUUAUCCAUUUUAAUAAAAUAACGAGGUUUAACGAAAUUCGAACAAAACCGUCAGGAAAUAUUUAUUAUGUUUAUUCAAUAUAAACUUGAAUAAAGACGAUUGAUAAAAUCUUAGAUGGACAUAAGUUGCAAUCGAAUUUCAUUAUCUAAGUAAUUGUCUCUAAGUAAUUUGUUAUAUUUUAGUAUUUAUAAAAGUUUGUUUUAAAUUGCAAGCGAUGUCUGAACACGAUUUUUUUUGUUAAAAAUUAUUUCAACUCCUCUUCAAACUAUCUUCUUUCAUAUAUUUAUAUACCAUAUUUACCAUAUAUUCUAUAUCGUUCAAUUAACUUAACUCUCUAAUAAUAUACUAAGGUUAUUUCAAUAGCACGUUCAUAUCGUAAAAUUAUUUCAAAUAAAAAAAACUUCUUUAUUAUUUCAUAAAAUCUCCCUAGCCUCAUUUAUGCCACGAAUUAUGAGGUACCUAAUACACAUAAUAGCUCAAAGAUCCCAUAUUGUACAUACACCUUAUAGAAACUCGUUACAUCAUGGACCGUAUAAACAGUGAAUUUAUCGUUAAUGACGCUACGAUGCAAGCUACGAUAUUAAGAUUGGCGUGCGAUACUUCUAUGCACGGAUUGUUUACACGCUGCAGGCGCAUAACUCUGCAGCUUUCGCACCAUCUGGCGCAAAAGUAGCGGUGCCUUUAUGCAGUAGAUUUCCUCCCGCGAUCAAGAGGACCUACUUUCCAGAUGUCGCAAAAGGUGUCCGGCAAACCUUGAAAUAAUAUCUUUUUGCGCGAUUUAAAUUCUUUGAAAAUUGUUGAAAUUUCUUUUCUCUUCUUUUUUUAUUCGUUUCUAGCACCGUAUUGGUAUCGAAAAUUCUUUGAAUUAUAUCGAAUAUUUAUUAGUGAACAUAUAGGAAUCCAAAGAAAAAACACAAUUCUACUCUUCUAUUCAGAUUCUUUCCUCUUUUUUCGGAAACAACUGCGCGAUGGAUUGACAAACACAAGCACAAAGCCUCGACAAAGGUGAAGAAACGGUAUCGAAUGCAAUUAAAUGGCACACCGGCUCGCGUGUCGAGGACCAUCUGGCAUUAUCAAUGGAAUAUGGGAACGUGCACGAGCAUAGCGGUCCAUGGAUCCCAUGUGUAGCCCAGCAAGUCUCGAUCUUUCAAUAUAUCGAGAUUCCGUUUUCAACGGACCUACUUUUAGAGGUUAGGUGCGCGCGUCCCGAUGAAACGUCGUGUCGUUCGAUUAAAUUCCGCAUUCGCGGCUUUAACCGGUCGGUAAGGUUGACCUCCGUCAAUCUUCGCUGCCAAACGACCACUCGAAUAAAUUUGAAUUUCCCUAGCUCGCAGGUUUACCGCUGCGUAUCGCUUCGUAAACACGAUAUCGUUCCCACACUUGGUUAAACCGAGGAAAUCGAGCGUUGAUAAUAUUCGACGAAAAAAUGGGAGGGUGUUUCGCAAUUUUUAAAAUUAAAAAUUCACGUAGAUUAAAAAAAUAUAUUGCAUCAAAUUAUAUUAACUUUUAGAAUCAUCUUAACUUCAAAGGUAUAAACAUUCAGUUACAAAAAGAAACGAUAUUUUCACGUGUUAUUUAAUUAUUACAAAAUGGAGCAGCAUGUCAAAGCAGUGCACAAUCAAAAAUUUUCCAUCCUUCGAUCUUCAAAUAUCGAACUAAACACGAUAAAUUUAUCAAAGAAGCAUCAGCGAGAAAUAUUCGAAACAAGAGGACGAUGGAAAAUCUGAUCGAACGAUAAAUCAUCCAUCUACAAGGAAACAAGGUUUCGGCGUUUCGCUGAAAGAUAAUCCCCGCUGCUUGGAAACGUGCUGGAAUCCCGAUAAACCGUGGCUCGGGACGAGCCUCUUCUCUAUACGUUCGCUCACGGGCGAUUGUUAAAAGCUUUUUUUUUUUUUUUCAAGAUGAGGGGUCGAUAGCCCGCGGAUGGCUGCACGAAUCAACGCUUAACCCUCGAUUUUUUUCUCGUUCGGUUUCUAAGGGCCCGAUGAAACCCUCGGCCUCCGCCUCUGGAAACAUCAUUGUCGGAACAGCAUUGUAACCGGCCAUUCGAAAGAAGCGUGAUCACGCUCUAUUCAUCCUAUACAUAUAUAUACGCUAUCCGUAUUCCAUCUAUUUUCAAUUAAUCUCGAAGAAGAAGGUUAGAAUAAGCGCAAUUUAAUUUUUUCUCUCUCUCUCUCUCUUUUUUUCAGAAGAUUAAAAUAAAUGAAUAAACGAAGGAAAUAAAAAAGAGGAAGAAAAAAAAGAAAGGUUCACAGAAGAACAAUGGCGCGCAAAAUGAGUUGACUCUUACUGCGCGUCAUUUGGGAGGGAUCGAAUGAGUCGCGAGUAUUUCAUCGAUUCCCCAGGAUUCUCUAGCAAUAGUCCUCGUUUACGAGCGUGAAAUGGUAGCCGAUGGCAAAGAAUAAAAGCUACGCGCUGGAUAAUGACAGGAUUUGGCUAGGCGAUAACUGGAAGAAGGAAAGAAUUAUAGGCUGCGAGACUGCCUCGUAAGCAUCAGACCUCGGAGUUUUAACGGCGAUUCAACCGUUUUCUUGGCCACCUUUUCUUCGUUACUUUGUGAUUUGAACGCGGUUCGAGGGAACGGUGUUUCGCGAGGAAGAGGAGAUAUCUUGGUAGAUGAUAUUGGAAAUGGCGAGGAAUAGGCGAGGGGAGAUUCGAGCCAAAAGUCACGGAAUCGAGCUGUGUAGUCGUUAUCUUUUCUCGCCUGUAAGAUGUUAGAAAUGGAAACGUUGAAUUCGAGAUCCGAUUCGCGUUUGAAAAUUUAAAAUUUAACUCGCGAGUCACGGGAUUAUUGAUAUAAAUUUUUAGAAGUGAGACUUUGAUCAAGAUGGUUGAAUUAUAAAAAUUCAGCAAUGUUUAACGUCUACAAUUCAGUCAUUUAAAUAUAUACUUUCUGUAAAUUUAACAAGCAGAAAGAGAAAACAAGCGUGAAAAAAUCAAAUUUCAUUUAGCAGUUUAUCUCAUUCUACGAUAUUUUAAAACUUUGCUGAUUAGAAUGUAGAUUAGAUUAGAACGCGAUUAGACCGUUUGCUUCCAAGAAUGACUAUAUUAAAUUGGCAUCUACCGUAAAAGCAAAGUGACAAGAAAUAAGCAGGAAGUUAUUCAAAUUACUAUCGCUGCACGAGUAUCGAAUUUUCUUUAUGUCCCCUGGUAUUAUGUCUCACUCCUACAUACGUAUCGGAAAUCGGUUCAAAAAAUAUUCGUAGAGUCACGGUUCGUAGAGAAAUGGUCCAAAUACCUAGUUUAUAUCCUGGUGACCUGGUUGACCAUUUACGCACGACUGCAUACGAAGAAUAUUAAUUACGCGUCAACGACUCACCAAGUGUUCCGCAUUGACGUGGCGGAAGUAGGUCCGCCACGCGUUAAAUGCCACGAAGCAUCUUCACAACGGCGACACGAAUAAUUUGGCGUGAUAAUUGUCUGGCUAAACAGCCGCGAAUGCGGCUAGGAACGUGGGGCAAAAAACUGUCUGCGGAAUACCGAAUGUACCGUUUAUGAGAACGGAACAAAAUGUACGCGAUAAUAGGAACGAGAUGUUUAUAUAUAUAUGUGUGUGUGUGUGUGAGUGUGUACCAAGGAUUUGAAAGAGAAUUGAUGGUAUUUGAAGAAACAUUAAUUGCAUGACUUGGCGGAAACGUUGGAAAAUGAAACUGUAUGAAAAUUUGCUCACUUCACGCGUGUCUAAUUUCUCCUCUAAUCCCUGGACGGUAAAAAAAUCUCCCUGCAAUACCGAUCGAGACAGCGUGAAUGUAACCGCGAUUGAUUUGGUUCCUGACAAUUGGCUAAAUUAAAUUCCAGGGAUCGAAAACUCGACGCGCCGUUGAUCGAUUAACGAGUAAUUUGGAUGGCGAUUGAAUACGCGCAACGAAGACGAUAACGGAAUCGAAGUUAUCUCAUAUAUUGGAUUAGGGAGAAGUGACGUACGAGUUAUUGCUCUUUUUGUUUUCAAAAUAAAAACCAACAACAUAACAACAGACAAAUCUAUCUCCAGUUCUACAACCAUCACAGGAGUAAAUAAAUUAUUAUGAUAUUAAUUUUUAUGUUUUAUUUACGAGAGCUUGAAAUGACAUGACAUGCUUAACUCUUGGCUAAAGGAAUUUUUCUUUUGUACCAGAAAGAAAUAUAAUCAUGAAUAUCUUUGGGAAGAAAGAAGUUUAAGUAAUAAUUUAAGAUACAUCUUUAAAACGUUAAAUAUCCAACUGGAAAAAUAACAAACGUCAUAAAUCCAAACUCAUAACAAACUCUAUCACUCUAAGCUCAAAUUACUAUAGUGGACGCCAUUAAAAUGUUCAUCGCGCGAUCACUCGUUUAUCUUAGGCGUAUCCUCGACCGCAACGUUAGUUUUCCAACUUGAAAAGCAACGAACAUCCUGUCGUAAAUUUGAACAACAAUAGCCCACAUUAUUGUCAAUAAAUUCAUUGGGCAAUCGCUCAUUUAUCUCGUUGUCAGUCGCAUCCUUAACUUAAAUAAGCUAAUUUUCCAACUCGAAAAAUAGCAAAUAUUCUGCCAUCAAUUCGAAUUCACAACAAACUUUAACAAUAGCAACACAUUAUUGUUCUAUCCAAGUAUUCAUCGCGCGAUCGCCCGUUUAAGCUCGGGCGUCUCGUUAACCCGAAUAAUCCUUUUCCAUAUUUGCCUCGUCACGAAAGUCGUCGAGUCGAUAAUGAGUUCAUCGACGAUUACGGCAGCGGUGACACGACAUGGCUCGCGUGCAAAUACGCUUAUGUCACCGAUGCUGCAGGCUGCUUGUUCCCGAGCCAUCUUUAUUUCGGUCAUCGCUCCUUCGACUCUCUCACCUUGUCCUCUUAUCUUUCCACGCGAUCCACGUUACUCGUAUAAUAGUACUUAUUUAUAUUGCUAUGUGUAGUGAUGGGUUGCGAUGCCUCUCGAGCAAUAUGAAUUCUUGGCGAUGAAGAAUCACAAGUGUGUAAUAUUAUAAGUGUAUAUUAUUUUCAAAACGAAUCGAAUCGUAGAUCAUAUUCGUUAUUUCGAGUCUUGGUAAAUAUAAAUAUCUAGACUCUUACUAUUUUGAAACGAAUUUAGAAAGUAAAUUUCAUUUUAUCCUUGUUUCUUGUACCUGAUAUCAGUGAACUUAAUAAGUACGAUCUUAAGAUUCGACGUGAUAACGCAUAUUCUUUUUACAUCAUAAACCUUCAAAUAAAUAGUUAAACUCAAAAUUAUAUGAAAGUAGUGAGAAAGAAUGGUAUUAUUACCCAUCAUUACUCUGUCUUUAAAUUAUUAGUCAUGAUAAUUUACGAUACAAAGAAAAGAAAAAACCAUUAUUAACCAGCCAUUUUCUCAGAAUUACUUGCUAGACUCGUUACGAUCCCAUUAACAUUAUCUUGAUACAACUCGGUAUUAAGGCAUGUAUUGAUAUCAAUUUCAUCUAUCCACUCUUUUCCUACAUCACGAAUCUUUAAAUACUUCAGCGUAGAAUUGUUUGUUGAAAAAUCGUAAGAAGAUAUCGUACCCAUCGCUACCUAAUGCUCGUUCCAAUGGCGAAAUCUUGAACUUGACUGGACUUGUCUGAACGGCGCAGCAGCCUUGCCGAUCGUUACCGUUACCCAUCUCCGCCUCGUCAUAAUGUACGCAGGCGAGUAAUGCGCGCGAGGUCGAGACUAAUUACGCGAGUUUUCUACAGUGGACAUCGUCCCUGGCAGAUUGAAUCGCGGAACCGCAGUCGACCCUUCGAAGUGAUUUUUUAGACGCGUGGGAAAGCUUCGAUAACGAGAUUCUCAAUCGUUCGUUUGGAAAAGCCUGCGCCGCCUUCAUCGGCACGCUAUCUCACCUUUAUACGCGCGCAAUCCUCCAGACUAAUAACGAGGAUUAAUUGGUCGCGCUGGGGUUAAUGAUCCACACUCUCUCCGUGGUUGGAUCUUGGUUUCCUCUUCUUGGGCUCUUUAUUUAGACCUUGAUCAUUAAUCACAAGUGGUUAAUUCCUUAGAAAGAUUUGUUGAAGCUACCUUAGAAGGAUUUGAAUCUUGAAUCGAAGGAAUGUGAAUAAGAUGGAAUCUGAAUUAGAUGACUAUUUGAUUUGAUUGAAUCAUAGUAAUUUACAAGUAAUAUCCAAGUUAUUGAUAAAAAAAUUGUGAAAAUGUUACAACCGUACCGUAUCUCGAUAAAAUUGUAAUAGAAUUUUAAUUACAAAAUAUUCCAAUUGAUAAAUUAUGGACACCAAUAUCGAAUAUUCAGUAUAAGUUAAAAAAAUGAUUAUUUAGAAAUAUUGCAUAAAUAUUCUGUUAUAUAUUACUAAAUCCCAGAUUCGCUUGAUUUUAUUUGUUAACGGAAAUACGGAUAAUAUAUAGGCCUAAUUAAUUUUAUUAUUUUAUUAUUUAAUUACUCUGAAUAAAAACACAUUUGAACAACA